rnacentral:rRNA from 1 species
AUGAACGCUGGCGGCGUGCCUAAUCCAUGCAAGUCGAGCGAACAGACGAGGAGCUUGCUCCUCUGACGUUAGCGGCGGACGGGUGAGUAACCCGUGGAUAACCUACCUAUAAGACUGGGAUAACUUCGGGAAACCGGAGCUAAUACCGGAUAAUAUAUUGAACCGCAUGGUUCAAUAGUGAAAGACGGUUUUGCUGUCACUUAUAGAUGGAUCCGCGCCGCAUUAGCUAGUUGGUAAGGUAACGGCUUACCAAGGCAACGAUGCGUAGCCGACCUGAGAGGGUGAUCGGCCGCACUGGAACUGAGACACGGUCCAGACUCCUACGGGAGGCAGCAGUAGGGAAUCUGCCGCAAUGGGCGAAAGCUUGACGGAGCAACGCCGCGUGAGUGAUGAAGGUCUUCGGAUCGUAAAACUCUGUUAUUAGGGAAGAACAAAUGUGUAAGUAACUAUGCACGUCUUGACGGUACCUAAUCAGAAAGCCACGGCUAACUACGUG